rnacentral:rRNA from 1 species
CACGCCUACGGGGCGCAGCAGUGAGGAAUAUUGGUCAAUGGACGAAAGUCUGAACCAGCCAUGCCGCGUGCAGGAAGACGGCUCUAUGAGUUGUAAACUGCUUUUGUACAAGGGUAAACCUGAAUACGUGUAUUCAGCUGAAAGUACUGUACGAAUAAGGAUCGGCUAACUCCGUGCCAGCAGCCGCGGUAAUACGGAGGAUCCAAGCGUUAUCCGGAUUUAUUGGGUUUAAAGGGUGCGUAGGCGGAUUGAUAAGUUAGAGGUGACAUGUCCGUGCUCAACUCGGGACCUGCCUCUAAUACUGU